AUGAACGCUGGCGGCGUGCCUAAUACCUGCAAGUCGCGCGCACAGACGAGGAGCUUGCUCCUUCGACGUUAGCGGCGGACGGGUGAGUAACACGUAGGUAACCUACCUAUAAGACUGGGAUAACUUCGGGAAACCGGAGCUAAUACCGGAUAAUAUUUCGAACCGCAUGGUUCGAUAGUGAAAGAUGGCUUUGCUAUCACUUAUAGAUGGACCUGCGCCGUAUUAGCUAGUUGGUAAGGUAACGGCUUACCAAGGCAACGAUACGUAGCCGACCUGAGAGGGUGAUCGGCCACACUGGAACUGAGACACGGUCCAGACUCCUACGGGAGGCAGCAGUAGGGAAUCUUCCGCAAUGGGCGAAAGCCUGACGGAGCAACGCCGCGUGAGUGAUGAAGGUCUUCGGAUCGUAAAACUCUGUUAUUAGGGAAGAACAAACGUGUAAGUAACUGUGCACGUCUUGACGGUACCUAAUCAGAAAGCCACGGCUAACUACGUG
rnacentral:rRNA from 1 species